CUUGGCCUACGGGAGGCAGCAGUGAGGAAUAUUGGUCAAUGGGCGAGAGCCUGAACCAGCCAAGUCGCGUGAGGGAGUACUGCCCUAUGGGUUGUAAACCUCUUUUGUCGGGGAGCAAAAGCCGGACGUGUCCGGCUGUGAGAGUACCCGAAGAAAAAGCAUCGGCUAACUCCGUGCCAGCAGCCGCGGUAAUACGGAGGAUGCGGGCGUUAUCCGGAUUGAUUGGGUUUAAAGGGUGCGCAGGCGGAUUUUUAAGUCAGCGGUCAAAUCGCGGGGCUCAACCCC
rnacentral:rRNA from 1 species